CUUACCUCCGCGAUAUCACUCCGCCCGACUUCCCCUCGCCUACUCCCAUCCCUCCUUUUGUAAAAAUAAAAUCUCCCCUCCCCCAUCGACUGUCGAGCUCCCACCGGCCUACUACGAUUUCCUCCAUGCCGACUCCCUAGGCGCAGCCUGCCCUCGCUUCCCUUCCUCACCGGGACUCCCUCCGGCCGCUUCCCUCCACGCACCCGGUGCCUCCCUUCGGCCGCCAUCCUCUGCGUCGGUGACACGGUUCCGCGCGGAUGAAAGAGCGAGGCAGUCCCACAUGCGGCGGCGUGGCUCCCCCCUCACUGCGCCUCCUGGUGGCACAACGCCGCAUCCGUCUCUAGCGUCGGCCAGCUUGGUCCCUGCGCCAGUGAGCUCCCCAGCUCCAGCGGCCACCUCUGCCACGCCGGCAAUGGCUGGAUCUGGUGGAUCCGGUUCCCCACUACCUUUCCCACCCCAUCUUCUUCUCAUCCAUGGGAACGUUGCAGGCGCCUGGCCGCUGCAGGUGCGGAGGCCGCUGGCUGCUGGUCGCGGGCAUGGGGACGGCCAUGGAGGAAGCGAUCUACGAGGUCGUAUUGCGACAGGAGGGCACUGGUCUAGGAGGGCGCCGGCGUCAACGGCGCGGUGACACCGCCUGCAGGGUGGGUGAACGAGAAAGAGGUGGAGGAAGAAGUGGACCUCCAGCUAACUAAGGCAGCCGUACGGCUCCAUCCGGACUGAUUUGUGCCAUCUCAGGCUCGCCCCAGCCACAAGCGCUGCCUCUGCUGAAUCGACAUGUUUGAUUUGGAUUUCUCAUCCUCUAUGCAGUCACAUUCAAGCUGUAUGAUCGAAGGGGACGGGUUACAUCAGGAAAGAAGAGGUGAUCGUCCAUUCAUUCUCAUAUGUGUUUGUUUGCAACGAUCUCGUUUUUAUUCUAACAUCUGUGUGCCGGUCUGGUUGGAGUGCGGACAUUCAGUCUAGGGGACUCAAAUGGAGAUGGCAUGAUAUGUCCUGAAGAAUGGGAGUUGCAGGGAUUAGUGUUGUAUUUCUUAUAUUACUAUUCCUAUCUUUUUCUUUUUAAGUAAUGUCUAGAAGCCAGUGGCUCAAAUAUUUAGGCACAACUGUGUAUAAGGAAGCACAGUUCCAUCAGCUCUAUUGUGACAUAGUUAACUCCUGAAAUUUUUAAUUUUUCUUUUUAAGUAAUGUCUAGAAGCCAGUGGCUGAAAUAUUUGGGCACAACUGCGUAUAAGGAAGCACAAUUCCAUCAGCUCUAUUGUGACAUAGUUAACUCCUGAAAUUUUUAAAAUUAAGGGCAAAUUUGACUUUAGCAUAGUCCGUGGAAUGAUGCACCAGAGCAGGUUCAGAAUGAAGCUGCAACAGAUUGCAUGAGGGUUGCUGCCAUACGCUGCAACCUAACAAGAUGGUGACAAAAAAAUCAUCUAAAUGAUAAGCUUCAGGUGGUAACUAGGCCAUGAUUUCCCAGUAUCAAAACAUUGUGGAGGAUCUUACUAGGCAAUAAUACAUAUGUGAAUGUUACUAUAAGCCACUUGGUUGUUGCCAGACCCAUAUAUAUAAUUACAUGGUCAAUGCCUUCGGCACAUUUUUGUUAUUAAAUUUUGGCACUGCCUAUAUCAUUACCUCUUUUUUUUAUUCUCUUAUUACCCAGCAAGUGUGUUAUUUUGUAAAUUUUUACUAGCUAGAUUAUACAUUCUAUCGUAUGCAUUGAAGCUACUUGAUCAUGGACUUUUUAAAUGUGUUGUACCACACAGGAUCAUCUAAAAAUUUGAUGCAGAAACUGAACCCCUCUAAUUAGUUGGGAACAUGCCUAAUUUCUUCUCUUGUCUGAAAAUAUUCUGCUAUUUAUUUCAGAGUUGCAGAUGACACCUAAAAGGACUUUACAGCCAUAUUAGACAUUUCGCACUCUAGAAGAGGACCCAUAUUCUCAUGUUCUGUGACUUGUAUCCUUUUUCUAUGUGCUAAGAUUUGUUGGGCGUCUAAUCCUUUUUUUAGAUUUGAAUAUUCAUGUUUCUAGAUGGUAAAGUUUCAAGUCGGGUUAAGUUUAACCUUUUGCAUAUAUAUGUAUAUAUUAGUAUGUGCAUGAAAGAAAUUUCAGUUUCAUUUUUUAACAGAGAUACCAUGAUGUGCCUUCCUCCGAGGGCCCUCGGCCAUGUAGAUUAGGAACUUUGUUUGACAACAUUCUGAUAACUGAUGACUCUGAGUACGCCAUGAAGUUUGCAAAGGAGACCUGGGGCAUCCACAAAGAUGCUGAGAAGGCUGCCUUUGCCGAGGCUGAGAAAAGAGUCUUCAAUAGGUAAUACAAAAUUAAACACUUUUGUGCAUUGCCAAUCCCUAUUCCAUUUAGGUAGAGUGUUAGUGUACAGCAUAGCCCACUCAUCUGAAACGAAAUCAAAUCUACUCAGUUCAAUAUUAACCUGCAAUGUGGCUGUGAGCACGCCCAAGGGCGACAGUGACCAGAUGGUAGUUAAAUUCUUGGGUUAUUAUGUUUCUUUAAGCUUGUGUUGGUCUUCACAAAGAUUUGUUACUUACUUUUCAAAUACUGCAGGGAGGAAGAACUAUUCACCACCUCUUCCUAAAAUGUGCUCUGGCAAAACAGAUGAAUGCACUUGACAUUGCUUCUCAGCCUAUUUAACAAUUUAUGUUUUACUUUUAUUUUAAUUGUUAACAAAACAUUGCUUCUCAACCUAUUUAACAAUUCAUGUUUUAUUAUACUCAUGGCAACAUAUGUUAUAACAUUCAUGUUUUUUUAGUUCCUGUUUUCCUAAUCCUAAUUCAAAGAAUACAGUGAAAGAUUUUCAUCAUUGUAAGUUUUUUCUAUUCUAUUAUAUUCUUGUAUGCUACGAAGGAUCUUUUAAAAAGGGUUUCUGGAGUUGUGUUGUGAUAAUCUAUGUUUUUUAUAACAGUGAUAAUUUAUGUUUGAA